GAUGAACGCUGGCGGCGUGCCUAAUACAUGCAAGUCGAGCGAACGGACGAGAAGCUUGCUUUUCUGAUGUUAGCGGCGGACGGGUGAGUAACACGUGGAUAACCUACCUAUAAGACUGGGAUAACUUCGGGAAACCGGAGCUAAUACCGGAUAAUAUUUUGAACCGCAUGGUUCAAAAGUGAAAGACGGUCUUGCUGUCACUUAUAGAUGAAUCCGCGCUGCAUUAGCUAGUUGGUAAGGUAACGGCUUACCAAGGCAACGAUGCAUAGCCGACCUGAGAGGGUGAUCGGCCACACUGGAACUGAGACACGGUCCAGACUCCUACGGGAGGCAGCAGUAGGGAAUCUUCCGCAAUGGGCGAAAGCCUGACGGAGCAACGCCGCGUGAGUGAUGAAGGUCUUCGGAUCGUAAAACUCUGUCAUUAGGGAAGAACAUAUGUGUAAGUAACUGUGCACAUCUUGACGGUACCUAAUCAGAAAGCCACGGCUAACUACGUG
rnacentral:rRNA from 1 species